ensembl:snoRNA U8 U8 small nucleolar RNA
UUGUCAGGUAGGAUAACCCUUACAUGUUCAUCUAUUCAGAGGGCAGAUAGAACAUAAUUGGAGUUCAUAUGAUAUAUGAUUAAUGUCUCUGCAUGAUUAAGGGCUCAUAAUACCCCAAACUCUUCUAUCUGAU